AACGAACGCUGGCGGCAUGCCUAACAUAUGCAAGUCGAACGAGACCUUCGGGUCUAGUGGCGCACGGGUGCGUAACGCGUGGGAACCUGCCCUUAGGUUCGGAAUAACUCCCCGAAAGGGGUGCUAAUACCGGAUAAUGUCUUCGGACCAAAGAUUUAUCGCCUUUGGAUGGGCCCGCGUUGGAUUAGCUAGUUGGUAGGGUAAAAGCCUACCAAGGCGACGAUCCAUAGCUGGUCUGAGAGGAUGAUCAGCCACACUGGGACUGAGACACGGCCCAGACUCCUACGGGAGGCGGCAGUGGGGAAUAUUGGACAAGGGGCGAAAGCCUGAUCCAGCAAUGCCGCGUGAGUGAUGAAGGCCUUAGGGUUGUAAAGCUCUUUUACCCGGGAUGAUAAUGACAGUACCGGGAGAAUAAGCUCCGGCUAACUCCGUG
rnacentral:rRNA from 1 species